GACGAACGCUGGCGGCGUGCUUAACAUAUGCAAGUCGAACGGAAAGGCCCUGCUUGCAGGGUACUCGAGUGGCGAACGGGUGAGUAACACGUGGGUGAUCUGCCCUGCACUUCGGGAUAAGCCUGGGAAACUGGGUCUAAUACCGGAUAGGAGCCAUUUUUAGUGUGAUGGUUGGAAAGUUUUUUCGGUGUAGGAUGAGCUCGCGGCCUAUCAGCUUGUUGGUGGGGUAAUGGCCUACCAAGGCGGCGACGGGUAGCCGGCCUGAGAGGGUGGACGGCCACAUUGGGACUGAGAUACGGCCCAGACUCCUACGGGAGGCAGCAGUGGGGAAUAUUGCACAAUGGGCGCAAGCCUGAUGCAGCGACGCCGCGUGGGGGAUGACGGCCUUCGGGUUGUAAACUCCUUUCGCUAGGGACGAAGCUUUUUGUGACGGUACCUAGAUAAGAAGCACCGGCUAACUACGUG
rnacentral:rRNA from 1 species